UACGUAGGGACCGAGCGUUGUCCGGAUUCAUUGGGCGUAAAGAGCUCGUAGGCGGCUGCUCAAUUCGAAUGUGAAAACUCGAGGCUCAACCUCGAGCCUGCAUUCGAUACUGGAUGGCUUGAGUUUGGGAGAGGGAUGCGGAAUUCCAGGUGUAGCGGUGAAAUGCGUAGAUAUCUGGAGGAACACCGGUGGCGAAGGCGGCAUCCUGGACCAACACUGACACUGAGGAGCGAAAGCCAGGGGAGCGAACGGG
rnacentral:rRNA from 1 species